UACGUAGGCAGCAAGCGUUGUUCGGAAUUACUGGGCGUAAAGAGUGUGUAGGCGGUGUUCUAAGUCUGUUGUGAAAUCCACUGGCUUAACUGGUGGCUUGCUUUCGAUACGGGCAGACUGGAGGUAUGCAGGGGAGAACGGAAUUCCUGGUGUAGCGGUGAAAUGCGCAGAUAUCAGGAGGAACACCGGUGGCGAAGGCGGUUCUCUGGGCAUGUCCUGACGCUGAGGAGCGAAAGUGUGGGGAGCGAACAGG
rnacentral:rRNA from 1 species